rnacentral:lncRNA from 1 species
GGAUAAGGGGGUGGGGAUAAGAAAAAAAUAUAUAAAGAGAAACAAAAUGUAUAAUUUAUAUAUAUAUAUAUAUAUAUAUAGAAAUAAAAAAAAUAUUUUUAAUAUAUAAAUAUUUUAUAUUUUGUUUCUCUCUCUAUAUUUUCUUCCUUAUUCUCCACCCUUAUCCACCCAUUCUAAAAAGUAUCCAAACAAAGUUAAA